GUUGGUAAACAAUGAGAAUCUCUAUCAAACUGCAGUCUCAACAGUCGGCCGACAGUUGGAAGAUAUUUUAAAAGAAAAUCUUGAUUCAUCAAUCAAUGUUUGCAGUCAGUCUGAUACCGGC
rnacentral:snoRNA from 1 species